rnacentral:lncRNA from 1 species
CCAACUGUUUGGUGUUGAUUCCUCAGCGGAAUGCUGUUCCUGGGUAGAGUCCAGAAUGGUGGGAAAGUUAUGGUGGCGUGUUGAAAGAUCCUGCUAAUAAAGUUGUAGUUCCUCAUAACUCUUGGAGCUUGGCGCAAACUGGAAGACUCCCUUUCUCCUUGGGACUUCCUCUUCUCUGCCUCACUUUGUCUGGACAGCAUCUGUAGUCCCUAAGCGAUGUGCCACAAAAUCCAUCCACGUGGCGGCCAUCACCUCCUUCAUGCCCCAGCCUAUGGGCCGUGGUAAGAUGCCCCUGCAGGAGCUCCUAUCAAAAUGGCAGCACCAUGACACCUUCUCAGCCUGCAGCUGUCACUGGAGCUGUCCACGGUGGCCCAUCUCCCUUCCCACCUCAACGGGAGCUGCCCCUUAGAAGCUGUCCACAGUGGCAACACCUUUCCUGCCUCAGCCUACUGCCAGUAUGAGGAGCUGUCCAGGGUUCCGACAUCUUCUUUCCUGCCUCAGCCUAUACGAUUUUGGUGAAAUACCACUGCGGAAGCUGUCCCACAGGAACUGUCCUCAGUGGCAGCACCCCCUCUCC